rnacentral:rRNA from 1 species
CCUACGGGUGGCAGCAGUGAGGAAUAUUGGUCAAUGGUCGGGAGACUGAACCAGCCAAGCCGCGUGAGGGAUGAAGGUACAGAGUAUCGUAAACCUCUUUUGUCAGGGAACAAAGGCGGGGACGCGUCCCCGGAUGAGUGUACCUGAAGAAAAAGCAUCGGCUAACUCCGUGCCAGCAGCCGCGGUAAUACGGAGGAUGCGAGCGUUAUCCGGCUUUAUUGGUGUACAGGGGUGCGCAGGCGGUCUGUUAGGUCAGCGGUCAACCCCCGGGGCACAACCCCGGCCCGCCGUUGAAACUGGCAGUCUCGAGUGGGAGAGAAGUAUGCGGAAUGCGCGGUGUAGCGGUGAAAUGCAUAGAUAUCGCGCAGAACUCCGAUUGCGAAGGCAGCUUGCCGGCUCCACACUGACGCUGAGGCACGAAAGCGUGGGUAUCGAACAGGAUUAGAUACCCCAGUAGUC